rnacentral:lncRNA from 1 species
UACAUAAAGUGGUGGGGCAUCGAAAAAAGCAACACCGUUCAACUCAGAACCGGUCCACUUGUGUAGGAUAACUUUUGGGCCUGAAGCAACUAAUAGAUAACCUUGAAUAGAAGCUAAUGCUGAUAUGGCACCUUUCAUUUCCUUUGAGUAGACCUCGUUACCUUUGCCGGUGAAUUCUCGGUGCUAUUUUCAACUGAGAACAAAAGAACACGUCCUCUUGCAGCUACAUCUUCCCCUUGCACAUAGGCAGUCCCAAUUGC